AGAGGUAGUGGAAAGGAAAGGUUAAUAAGGCAAAGGGGGAUGUGGACCUGUCUAAAAAUAGUUCUUUGGGGAAUUUCAAUCUUCACUGUCAGGAUAUCAGCAGUUCAUUUUGCAUGAAUCACUAUCAGUAGUUCGGUCUAUUGGCAAACACCAUUUAUGGAUCAGUAAUAGCAGUUUGACACAGAAGAAACUUUGAGGCUCUGCCAAUUUUGGCCUGAGUCUGCAGAAGUGGCAAGAAGCCACAGAAGACCAGCAAAGAGUGGUAAAGUGAGCCAAUGCCACACUGCCUUCCAUUGUUUGUUGGGUUAUAUUUAUACUCGUGCCAAACAUCACGAGUCCUCUCAGACAUCUGUUCCAGUGAAACAUCACAUGCCCCCUUUCCAGGCAGCUCCCAGAAAAACACCACAUGUCUGUUUUCAGCAAAACACCCUGCCUGCCUUAGUAAAACAUUCUCUCAUAUGACAGUUUCCAGAAAAACAUCACACGAUACAACUGUGUCUCCAAAGAAACCAGAAAUGUCCACUUCACCUGUGAUCUUCCCAGAGGUUUAAUACUGUGUUGCUAAACUCUCUUUAACACCAGAAACUGAGUUCAACAGACUGUAUGUGGUAACUAUUCCUUCACGUCCCAACAUCAGAUGGGUAAACAGAAGAUGAGUCCAGUGAAUCCUUAAACUGUCUCAUGGCAAAAGACCGGAUAGAAAAAAAAUAAUGUUUCACCUAAAAGGCUCAUUUUAUUUUCUCUAAUUUUUUAAUUGAAAAAUGAGGGGGUUUUCCCUAAAAUAUACUCUAAUCAUGUUUUCUUUUGUCUUCAUAUAAUCUCUAGGAGAAAAAAAAAACCCUCAUAUUAUCUCAGUAGGAAAGAUCACUGUUGUCAAAAUAGUAACAAUAAUAACAAUAAUAAUAAACCAAGAAAUC
rnacentral:lncRNA from 1 species